UGGGGAAUAUUGGACAAUGGGCGCAAGCCUGAUCCAGCCAUGCCGCGUGAGUGACGAAGGUCUUCGGAUUGUAAAGCUCUUUUGCCAGGGACGAUAAUGACGGUACCUGGAGAAUAAGCCCCGGCUAACUUCGUGCCAGCAGCCGCGGUAAUACGAAGGGGGCUAGCGUUGUUCGGAAUUACUGGGCGUAAAGCGCACGUAGGCGGAUUUGUUAGUCAGGGGUGAAAUCCCGGGGCUCAACCUCGGAACUGCCUUUGAUACUGCAAGUCUAGAGUCCGGAAGAGGUGAGUGGAAUUCCUAGUGUAGAGGUGAAAUUCGUAGAUAUUAGGAAGAACACCAGUGGCGAAGGCGGCUCACUGGUCCGGUACUGACGCUGAGGUGCGAAAGCGUGGGGAGCAAACAGG
rnacentral:rRNA from 1 species